UACGAAGGGGGCUAGCGUUGUUCGGAAUCACUGGGCGUAAAGCGUACGUAGGCGGACCAUUAAGUCGGGGGUGAAAUCCCAGGGCUCAACCCUGGAACUGCCUUCGAUACUGGUGGUCUGGAGUCCGGGAGAGGUGAGUGGAACUCCUAGUGUAGAGGUGAAAUUCGUAGAUAUUAGGAAGAACACCAGUGGCGAAGGCGGCUCACUGGCCCGGUACUGACGCUGAGGUACGAAAGCGUGGGGAGCAAAGCAGG
rnacentral:rRNA from 1 species